UAGGGAUGAGGUCGUCGUCCCACGGCCAGCCU
rnacentral:piRNA from 1 species